ACGGGGGGGGCAAGCGUUGUUCGGAAUUACUGGGCGUAAAGGGCGCGUAGGCGGUUCGCUAAGUUGAAUGUGAAACCUCUGGGCUUAACCCAGAGCCUGCAUCCAAAACUGGCGAACUGGAGUACUGGAGGGGAAAGCGGAAUUCCUGGUGUAGCGGUGAAAUGCGUAGAUAUCAGGAGGAACACCGGUGGCGAAGGCGGCUUUCUGGACAGUAACUGACGCUGAGGCGCGAAAGCUAGGGUAGCAAACGGGA
rnacentral:rRNA from 1 species